AUUGAACGCUGGCGGCAUGCCUAACACAUGCAAGUCGAACGGCAGCACGGCAGUAGCAAUACUGUGGGUGGCGAGUGGCGGACGGGUGAGGAAUACGUCGGAAUCUGCCCAGUCGUGGGGGAUAACUAGCCGAAAGGUUAGCUAAUACCGCAUACGACCGAGAGGUGAAAGCGGGGACCGCAAGGCCUCGCGCGAUUGGAUGAGCCGACGUCGGAUUAGCUAGUUGGAGGGGUAAAGGCCCACCAAGGCGACGAUCCGUAGCUGGUCUGAGAGGAUGAUCAGCCACACUGGAACUGAGACACGGUCCAGACUCCUACGGGAGGCAGCAGUGGGGAAUAUUGGACAAUGGGCGCAAGCCUGAUCCAGCAAUGCCGCGUGUGUG
rnacentral:rRNA from 1 species